AGGGGCUGAGGUCCAAUGUUUUAUUACAGUUUACUAAUUUUACAUGAGGUCAGAAGACCCAGAAAAGAAGAUCAUUUUAUCCCAUUAAUCAGGCUGAUAAAAAACUAGUCUGACAAGAUACUAUAGUAGUAACAGGAAACGUACCAAGGAUGUACUAUAAGCCAAGCACUGUGGUAGACGAGCAAGAAGCACCCAGCUCAGAACCUUGGAGGGAGUGCCAGCGAUAGAAGACAAGAAGUUGUCAGCAGAGGAAAGUGAACAAGUGAGGGAUAUUCUGAAGUCCCUACCAGCUGUGUACCUAAGCAUUACCCAUGCCGUGUCUCUCUCUACGGACCCUGUCUCCCUCUAUCCAUCCGCCUUCCUUUCCUCUUCCUGUCUUCCCUGUCCUUCUAUCUCCCUCCCUGUGUGCCCUCCUGUCUCUCCUCUCUCUUACUUCAUCCUCAAGAAUAUCAUUAGUCUUUAUACAACAAAAUACUUCAAUUCCAUGUUCUUAAUGUUAUAUUAUUAUUCUACUCAUGUAAAUUGUUGUUUCAUGUUAUUUGAUAUGAAAGAGAUAAGUAGGACUUUGUUCCACUUAUUGUGACGAGCACUGAGUAAUGUAUGGAAAUGUUGAAUUGCUAUAUUGCACACCUGAAAUUAAUAGAACAUUGAAUGGUAACUAUCCUGGCAUUUAAAAAAUAAAUGAAAAUAGGACUUUCCUGUUUGCAAA